AUACGGAGGGUGCAAGCGUUGCUCGGAAUCACUGGGCGUAAAGCGUACGCAGGCGGCGUGUUAAGUCGGGUGUGAAAGCCCGGGGCUCAACCCCGGAAUUGCAUUCGAAACUGGCAUGCUUGAGUACGGGAGAGGGAAGCGGAAUUCCUGGUGUAGAGGUGAAAUUCGUAGAUAUCAGGAGGAACAUCAGUGGCGAAAGCGGCUUCCUGGCCCGAUACUGACGCUCAUGUACGAAAGCGCGGGGAGCAAACAGGAUUAGAUACCCUAGUAGUCCACGCCGUAAACGAUGAGUGCUAGCUGCUGGGAAUGUCUACCGUUUCAGUGGCGAAGCUAACGCAUUAAGCACUCCGCCUGGGGAGUACGGCCGCAAGGCUAAA
rnacentral:rRNA from 1 species